rnacentral:rRNA from 1 species
UCCUACGGGAGGCAGCAGUGGGGAAUCUUGCGCAAUGCGCGAAAGCGUGACGCAGCAACGCCGCGUGGAGGAAGACGGCCUUCGGGUUGUAAACUCCUUUCAGUUGGGACGAAGGUUGACCGGUGAAUAGCCGGUUUGACUGACGGUACCUUCAGAAGAAGCCCCGGCUAACUACGUGCCAGCAGCCGCGGUAAUACGUAGGGGGCUAGCGUUGUCCGGAAUCAUUGGGCGUAAAGCGCGUGUAGGCGGCCUUGUAAGUCCGUUCUGAAAGCCCGGGGCUCAACUCCGGGAGGCGGAUGGAUACUGCAAGGCUCGAGUUCGGAAGAGGCGAGUGGAAUUCCCGGUGUAGCGGUGAAAUGCGCAGAUAUCGGGAGGAACACCAAUGGCGAAGGCAGCUCGCUGGGACGACACUGACGCUGAGACGCGAAAGCGUGGGGAGCAGACAGGAUUAGAUACCCUGGUAGUCCACGCCGUAAACGAUGGACACUAGGUGUGGGGGGUGUCGACUCCCUCCGUGCCGAAGCUAACGCAUUAAGUGUCCCGCCUGGGGAGUACGGCCGCAAGGCUAAAACUCAAAGGAAUUGACGGA